GACGAACGCUGGCGGCGUGCUUAACACAUGCAAGUCGAACGGAAAGGCCCUGCUUGCAGGGUACUCGAGUGGCGAACGGGUGAGUAACACGUGGGUGAUCUGCCCUGCACUUCGGGAUAAGCCUGGUAAACUGGGUCUAAUACCGGCUAGGAGCCAUUUUUAGUGUGAUGGUUGGAAAGUUUUUUCGGUGUAGGAUGAGCUCGCGGCCUAUCAGCUUGUUGGUGGGGUAAUGUCCUACCAAGGCGGCGACGGGUAGCCGGCCUGAGAGGGUGGACGGCCACAUUGGGACUGAGAUAAGGCCGAGACUCCUAAGGGAGGGAGAAGGGGGGAAUAUUGCACAAUGGGCGCAAGCCUGAUGCAGAGACGCCGCGUGGGGGAUGACGGCCUUAGGGUUGUAAACUACUUUCGCUAGGGACGAAGCUUUUUGUGACGGUACCUAGAUAAGAAGCACCGGCUAACUACGUG
rnacentral:rRNA from 1 species